AAUAAUAAUAAUAAUAAUAUCUUGGAAAAACAGGGUAUAUAAACCAUUGACUCUUAUUAUUUCACUAAAAUUAGAUUAGGUACUUGCACAAUUCACUGCACAGAGUAAUCCUCCAAUAUGAAAAGAACAUUAAAAAAUA
rnacentral:ribozyme from 2 species